UUCAGCUCCUGUGCUUAUAAGCCAGGUUCAAAUUUGUGUUUGGUAACACAGCUUAUUGGCAGCUUUUUUCAGAAGCUGCUGUGGCUUCCUUAGAUAAGCAGAAGCUGAAGAAUGCAGCUUCCGGAAGCCAGAAGCCACGGAAACACUGUAGCGGUAGUUACUGUAGAUUAAUGAAAAAUCCUAAAUGCCGAAAUUCACCCUUCCAAGCUGAAACAAUUUCAGCUGAACCCUACGCUCAUAUCUUCCUUGUCACUGUUCCCCAUCUCUCUCCCUCAUCACACCCGCAGCAUCAGAAGCUCCCCUGCUCCCCCAUCUCCCUCCCUCAUCACACCCGCACCGCCGCAUCCUCGCAGCUCCCCGUCACCGCUCCCCAUCUCCGUCCGUCAUCAGAGACCGCAGCCCCGACGUCGAUCUACACAUCCGUGUGUCCCUCGUCACAGAUCGAUCUCCGACGCAAGCUCCCCGUCACCGGUCCCCGUCACCGCUCCCACAGAUCGAUCUCUCUUCCGCAUCGAUCUACCCAUCUCUCUGCCCCUCAUCACAGGUCCAGCCCUGGUAGAUUUUCCGUAGGUCGGAUAUGUCAGGCCAAAGUUUUGAUGCUGUAAGGAAGCUGAAGUUAUUCAGAGAUGAAACAUACAGUGCCUUCUAUUUAAUAAGAACUCACCUGAUGGAAAACUUGGUGUCAUUUAUGUACAGAAUAUGAUAAGAGAACAAGGAUUUUCUUAUUGUGA